AUGUCUUUUGAAGAUAAAGCAAUGGCUAGUCGUAUCACCUCGCCCUCAUCAAAAGCUACGGUAUCAGAAUCAGAUCUUCGGAUAAUAAAUGUUGCAUCAAAUGUGGAUCAUUCUCAAGCAAAUAACCAGGCAAGUGCAGUCCUCGGUCCAGUGGCUAUCUUUUGGGACAUUGAGAACUGCCCUGUUCCAAGUGAUGUACGGCCAGAUGAUGUUGCUGGGAAUAUACGGAUGGCAUUACGGCUGCAUCCUGUUGUUAACGGUGCAGUUACAGUUCUCUCUGCUUAUGGAGAUUUCAAUGCUUUCCCUAGAAGACUCAGGGAGGGAUGUCAGAGAACCGGAGUCAAACUUGUCGAUGUUCCAAAUGGGCGGAAAGAUGCUGCUGAUAAGGCUAUACUGGUAGAUAUGUUUCUCUUUGCUCUGGACAAUCAUCCACCGUCAUCCAUUAUGCUUAUAUCUGGUGAUGUGGACUUCGCUCCCGCUCUCCAUAUACUUGGUCAGCGUGGAUACACUAUUGCCCUUGCGAUUCCAUCUUCAGUUACCGUCUCAUCGGCUUUGAGCAGUGCUGGGAGUUUCGUGUGGGACUGGCCUAGUCUUGCCCGUGGUGCAGGCAGUGUACCCCCCAGAUCCUUAGGGCAUCGUGCUGCUGAUCCUUUAGUCUGUCCUAACAGUGUAACACCGGGGAAAUUUCCUGACAUACAGACUGAAGAGGAGGCCAUUGCUUAUAUGGGAACUUUUAGGAAUGAAUAUAGUGGCAGAACAACCAGCAACCAGAUUAAUUGCUAUAACUCUUCACAGGUCACCAGGGAAUCAUGCAAAGCUUUCUGCACUCUGGCGGAUGGCAGUUGUGGCACCGGCACGUCAUCGAGGUCACAUCAUGUAUCAGGUGGUUUGAAUGAAGUCCCAGUGAUAGACCAAGGAUUUACAGGCGAACAAUCAUGGUGGGUUCGUCCCGGUGAUCUUCAAGGCUUGAAGGGUCAACUAAUAAGGUUAUUUCAGUUAUCUGGUGGAUCUGUUCCACUUGUCCGUGUUCCUUCAGAGUAUUUAAAGCUGUUCGGAAGGCACCUGUAUGUAGCAGAAUAUGGAGCUGUAAAACUUGUUCAUCUUUUCGAAAAGCUGGCUGAGUCUUUUGUUGUCAUAGGGAAGGGUCAGAGGAAGAUGAUUUGCCUACGCAAUUCUGCUGAUAGGAACAUGAAGAAAUAUCCAAGCACACCAAUAAUUUUGAAAAAUGAAAAGAGAUUGAAUGCUACUCUCGAGGAAGGUACUAGUGAAACAUGUCAGCAGUUGAGCAGCUCAUCAGAAGAUCUCUCAGAGGAUGAACAGAACAUUAACCCUGACGUAGAUGGAGCAUAUGUGUUUGAUAGCCAUCUAUACAAGUGCAGAACAGAGGUCGAGGCUCUUCUUGUCUGUUACUUGUCGUGCCCUCUUCCACUCUCUCAUUUUGAAUCCCUGUAUGAGCAACGGUACAAGAAGACUCUCGACUACCAGAGCUGUGGAGUUGAUGGUCUGGAGGAACUGCUUAACAAGUUAAAAGAUGUUGUCGAAUUGAAUGUAAAUGAGAUCAGCAACAUGAAGUUCAUCAAAGCCAAGUCACCAAAAUGUAGUCCCUCAAAGCCAUGUUAA
rnacentral:rRNA from 1 species